GGCCAGGUGGCGGAGUGGUUAACGCGGUAGACUCGAAUUCGUUCGGUGCAAUCUACUUCCUUCGGGAGCGUCUGUUCGAAUCAGGCCCUGGUCG